GGCCGACUGGUGUAGUGGUUAUCACGUCUGCUUUACACGCUUCGAACGGAGCUCAUAUCGCAGCAGGUCGCCGGUUCGAUCCCGGCGUUGGUCA
rnacentral:tRNA from 1 species